CUUACCGCGAGGUAUAAUCUGAAGGAAGCUAGCGGCAAAAUUCCGAUCUGAGGAACAAGAAUAUUAUCAGGCGCAAUUGUUGGGAUAAACUUGCCAAACAAAGCAAAGUUUAAAUACUACACGGACAACGAAGUGUAAAUGAUACGGGUACAGGGAAUGAAAGCUAUUUAC
rfam:Metagenome sequence AGZO9026.b2, whole genome shotgun sequence.